GCCCUCGUAGCUCAAUGGAUAGAGUACUUGGCUUCGGACCAAGGGGUUGGCGGUUCGAAUCCGUCCGAGGGCG
rnacentral:tRNA from 1 species